UGAGGCCAGGAGGGUGCGGCUUCCGCGCUGGCCGGCCCUGCGCGGGCCUCCCGGGUCCUCUCGGGUGCCUCCGCCCCUCUCCAAAUCGCUGUGGUGCGGCCGAGGCUUCCCACCCGCGGCCUCUGACGGAGGGCUGGGCGCGAGCUAGCGGGUUCUCGCGGCCCCGGUCGGCUGCGAGCGCCGUCCUGACCCAGCCAGACCCAGGACCCCCGGGCUUGCUGCGCCUGACUGGGUCGAGGGCACGAAAACACCAUUCCAGAACUCAUCCGGCCCAUUUUCUGUCGGUGUAGGCCCAGAAAAAUCCCACGGCGGUCCGUUUUUGUUCUGAAGCCAUUAAAGUGCCACUACUAACGCGAUUGUUCCAGAUACUCCACGUCGCUGAAUUCAAAGUGGUCAUUGUUGGGUCGCAUCAGGUGUAUUUGAAACAGAUACUCUUUCUCCUUUGCUGCCACCAGCCACUCUGCACAGAUCAUUAAACAAUGGCCUGAUGUCAGAAAACUGGAGUGACUUUAUGGCUCUCAGUUUUCUCAUCUGUGAAAAGGCCACUUCAUCCAGUCUUGGUGUUCAUCUGAUAUACUAAAGCAGAACAUGGGGGAAAAUCCAAGUGAUAAUCUCGAGCUGAAUAUCUUAAAGAACAAGAGCUCACAAAAAAAUUAUUGGAUAAGACAUCUUCUGGGCAGGUGUAAGAGACAUCUUAGAGAAAGACUGGUAUGGUUUUAAAGAGCUUCACUUUCAUGCAACAGAUUUAUGAAAACUUGUAAGCUCAAUAUGGAUAACAAGGUACCAUUCUUUAAAGCAUCAAGGAUGCUUUUUAUGCAGGUAAUUAUUUUU